rnacentral:rRNA from 4 species
CAACUUUCAACAACGGAUCUCUUGGCUCUCGCAUCGAUGAAGAACGCAGCGAAAUGCGAUAAGUAAUGUGAAUUGCAGAAUUCAGUGAAUCAUCGAAUCUUUGAACGCACCUUGCGCUCCUUGGUAUUCCAUGGAGCAUGCCUGUUUGAGUGUCACGU